rnacentral:rRNA from 1 species
GUGGGGAAUCUUGCGCAAUGGGCGAAAGCCUGACGCAGCCAUGCCGCGUGAAUGAUGAAGGUCUUAGGAUUGUAAAAUUCUUUCACCGGGGAAGAUAAUGACGGUACCCGGAGAAGAAGCCCCGGCUAACUUCGUGCCAGCAGCCGCGGUAAUACGAAGGGGGCUAGCGUUGCUCGGAAUUACUGGGCGUAAAGGGCGCGUAGGCGGACAUUUAAGUCAGAGGUGAAAGCCCAGGGCUCAACCUUGGAAUUGCCUUUGAUACUGGAUGUCUUGAGUUCGGGAGAGGUGAGUGGAAUGCCGAGUGUAGAGGUGAAAUUCGUAGAUAUUCGGCGGAACACCAGUGGCGAAGGCGACUCACUGGCCCGAUACUGACGCUGAGGCGCGAAAGCGUGGGGAGCAAACAGGAUUAGAAACCCUUGUAGUCC